AAUUACUUCUGGUAGGUGUCAGAUAACAUGAAUGUGAAAGACAAGGAACAGAUCAGCAGAAGCAUGGUUAAGCGGGUGCUGAGAAAUGAGUACUAGUAGUAACUUCUGUCCCUUCAGUCACUGAAAGCAGAGGAAGAGAGAAAGAAGACAGAGACAGCCAAACAGACAGGUAUCUCCAAUCUGCUGCAUCCCUCUCCAAAGCCAACAGCCAGAAGCCAGAAACUCAAUCUGAGUCCAAUGUGAAUGGCAGGAAGCCAACUAGGAGUCAACAGGCUACACAUCAACAAGCAGAUGGAAUCAGAAACACAAUCGGGACUCCUGUACCAGAUGUACUUGAGGCUGCUGAGAACAACCCAAGUGCAAGUGACACUCUUGAACUUGACCUCAACGAAGUCAUGGUGCCACAUCUGACUUCUUCCAACUGCUGGCACGUGCUGCUCUGUACAGUCCUUCUUAAGUGUAAGCAAUCCCUAGCUCACGCCACUGAGUCUCUGACUGCAACUAAGGCCGUAGCAUCGGGGAUCUCCAACAGCCACAGAGCUCGGCCCUUUUUAUUUCCUAUGCAGAAUAAAUACUGCUUUCUCCUAAUUAAACUGAAAGCUAAUCCUUUGG